CUCAAGAGUGUUUUCAAAGUGAUUGUAAUGUGUAUUCUUGAAUGUAUAAUCACAAAGAUCUCUUUUUUCACACUGCAGUGAACUAACACAAGUUCAUUGUCUAGGCAGUAUAAUGAAUUCUACAGCAGAUGGGUGUGUCUGUCUGAAAAGAUCCUUGAAUCACUCCUUAUAUCAUUAUUACUACACCCACAGGAAUUUGCAUCCCCAGGUAAGGUGUGUUUAAAACGGAGAGUGAAAGACUAGAGCUAAAGAAGCCAGGCAAGGAAUUCCAGUUGACCCUUGCCUGAAAGAGGAGGAAAAAGACGGCAUAGUGCAGGUGACUCUUGAAUGUUGUGAAACCCAUCAUUAUGUGGAUAUUCCUUCUUCUAGCUUUCCCACACCUCCUGGCUGCACGAAGUACCUGUCUGCAUGGGGCCUGCUACCCACCUGUGCAUGAUCUUCUUAUAGGAAGAAUCCAUCAUUUAAAGGCCUCCUCCACCUGUGGACUUACCCAACCUGAAACUUCCUGUACUCCAUAC